CCAGAACAAAGGUAAAUUUGUAUUAGAAUAAUAAAAUGUGUGUUAUUCAUUAAUACAAGUCCUACUUAAGUAAACUAUAAAUACAUAGUUGGAAGGAUAUUAUUGAAAGGACUGGGAAUGUUACACACUAACCUUGGGAGGUGCAACCGACACACGACUCCUAACGGCUUGUGCGAACCAACCUCCAUACUUACAUCGUUUUAAUCAUGAAACCAUGGCCAACGAGGCCUCUAAGUAAUAAUACAAAAAAUUUAGAGUGUACGCAACUGACUGUGAAAGAAACAUCAGCAUUUACACAACUUCACAAAUGUUUCCAGCAUAGCCAUAACCAACCAUUAUAUACACACCAAAUACUACUUUGCAAGCCUCUAAGAGUGCUAACAUAUAGUACAUUUCAUGGUCUGGACAGGGCCCCACCGUAUCUAAAAUAACUAAAACAUACAUUUCGAUACCUAUUGAUUUCUGAAUGACUACAACAAAGAAGUGGAGUGAAAUUACCAAUAGGUGGGACAAACAACCUACUGGGGAGGAAGUCACCUAGUCUGUUUGCACUUGUGGGCAUGAACACAAUGCCCAAAAUAAUGGAGCAUCGGUAAGAAAAACGUACUGAGAUAUAAAUACAUGAUUUCAACCAUAAUCGAAAGACAAGCCACAGAGCGGCAAAUUUUAGAAACCAUAAAAAAUAAAAGCAUGCAAGCUUUACAAAAGGCUGAGCAGUUAUUAAGACUACACAUUAAAUAUAUGAUAAUAUUACUCAUCCACUCAAUUGGAUUUUAUAUCGUACCCAACCUCAUAAAGGACUCGGUAAAUUCUUUUUAUUCUAUCACAUCAUACCCAACUCUUAGGAGGUCUUGAUUGUUGCCUCAAUAGAUCUUGGUCGUACUCGUCCACGCAAGGGCUCGAUAGUGUUUAAUUGCACAUAAUUUUGGUACCCAGCCUCAUAUAUAGCUGGGUUGCACCCGGGCACAUAAGGGCUUGAUAGUAUUACACAUUGUAUCUCGUCAUACCUAAUUGAUAAGUGAUUGCACAAAAGGCGAUGUAUCCAACCGAAUAUAGUGCGACUCAAUAAUAAAUACAUAUACAUAAAUGUAAUGCAAAUUCAAUUUCGAGGAAAUACCAAGAUUGAACUCAAAAUGGAUCAUGAAUCAUAUGUUUUCGCACUCAUAAUGCUAUCUGGGAAUACCUGAAACUUGAAGGAAAUCAACCAAUAAGAUCAAUGCAUAAGAAUAGUAACAACGUUAUUGAAAGGGGCUUAGGAUAAAUCAAUCUUACAACAUAGUAACAUUUGAAGUAGGAAGAGAUGUUAUUACUAAGUCAUGCCAAGAAAGAAGUUUGUCCUACAUACUUUUUUUGAAGAACUAGAUACACUUUUGUGAGGUUCAACUCUGCUUCCAAUGAUUCUCCGGAAUUAGUACAACAAGAUAAUAGAAUUAUAGUGAUGAUUCCAAGCUUCUUCAUGGUAGAUCCUACUAGAUUAAUCAUUAACUUGGCCUUAGAUUGUUUUGGAAUUCUAAGGGAGAUUUGAUAGCAUUUUUGGGGUGAAAUAAAGUGGGUGACACUUUCUAGAAUGAAUGAGAAAGAGUAUACUGCCUUCUAUCUUAUGCCAAGUCUAGGAAAUUUCACAGUGCUACAUGAAAAAUGGGUCACCCCAUCCCGGUUGUAGCAUCCAAUGAGA
rnacentral:lncRNA from 1 species